UACAGAGGUCUCAAGCGUUGUUCGGAUUCAUUGGGCGUAAAGAGCUCGUAGGCGGCUUGUCACGUCGACUGUGAAAACCCGGGGCUCAACUCCGGGCCUGCAGUCGAUACGGGCUGGCUUGAGUGCGGUAGGGGAGACUGGAAUUCCUGGUGUAGCGGUGGAAUGCGCAGAUAUCAGGAGGAACACCGGUGGCGAAGGCGGGUCUCUGGGCCGAUACUGACGCUGAGGAGCGAAAGCGUGGGGAGCGAACAGG
rnacentral:rRNA from 1 species